AUUGAACGCUGGCGGCAUGCCUUACACAUGCAAGUCGAGCGGCAGCGCGGGGGCAACCCUCGCGGCGAGCGGCGGACGGGUGAGUAAUACAUCGGAACGUGUCCUUUUGUGGGGAGUAACCAGUCGAAAGACUGGCUAAUACCGCAUGAGAUCUCACGAUGAAAGCGAGGGACCGCAAGGCCUCGCGCGAUUGGAGCGGCCGAUGUCGGAUUAGCUAG
rnacentral:rRNA from 1 species